rnacentral:rRNA from 1 species
UACGUAGGGGGCGAGCGUUGCCCGGAAUUACUGGGCGUAAAGGGAACGUAGGUGGCUCUUAAAGUCAGGUGUGAAAAUAACGAAGCUUAACAGGUUAAUGCGCUUGAAACUAAAGGGCUUGAGGGCAAUAGAGGGAGAUGGAAUUACCUGUGUAGGGGUGAAAUCCGCAGAUAUAGGUAAGAAGGCCGGUGGGGAAGCCGAUCUCCUGGGUUGACUCUGACACUGAGGUUCGAAAGCUAGGGGAGCAAACCGG